CUACGGGGCGCCCCAGUGGGGGAUAUUGCACAAUGGGCGAAAGCCUGAUGCAGCAACGCCGCGUGAAGGAUGAUGGAUUUCGGUCUGUAAACUUCUAUCAGCAGGGAAGAAAAUGACGGUACCUGACUAAGAAGCCCCGGCUAACUACGUGCCAGCAGCCGCGGUAAUACGUAGGGGGCAAGCGUUAUCCGGAAUUACUGGGUGUAAAGGGUACGUAGGCGGCUGAUCAAGUCAGAUGUGAAAGCCCGGAGCUCAACUCCGGGAUUGCAUUUGAAACUGGUCGGCUAGAGUGCAGGAGAGGAAAGUGGAAUUCCUAGUGUAGCGGUGAAAUGCGUAGAUAUUAGGAAGAACACCAGUGGCGAAGGCGGCUUUCUGGACUGUAACUGACGCUGAGGUACGAAAGCGUGGGGAGCGAACAGGAUUAGAUACCCCAGUAGUC
rnacentral:rRNA from 1 species